CGGGAGGCAGCAGUGAGGAAUAUUGGGCAAUGCUCGAAAGAGUGACCCAGCAACGCCGCGUGGAGGAUGAAGGUAUUCUAUAUCGUAAACUCCUGUGAGAGCAGACGAAAGACAGAUUAUUAAUCUGGAUGACUGUAUGCUCAGAGGAAGCCCCGGCUAACUACGUGCCAGCAGCCGCGGUAAUA
rnacentral:rRNA from 1 species